AUCUGGACAGAGGACGCCUGUUUCAACAUUCUGAUGAAAGAUCAGCCAAAGCUCGAUGUGCUGUAGUCUCGACAACUGGACGCUCGCGCUCGGAUCACACUGGCACAGGAUGUCCAUGCACCGGCUGGUCUGAGGAUGUGCUCCUGUUGGGACUGGAAAACAAAGAGACAUUUGGUCAGUGUCUGGAUCUUCCUCUUCUGCCAUGGUGGAUGAGCUACCUUUUCUGGACCUGAGCCCUAGGACCAUGCGUCAGGACGACCGGGCAUGAUGACUCC